GCGUGCGUCGGGGGCGGUCCCGCCGGCCCUGCUGAUGUGGGGCGGGACUCGGCCGGGUCCACCUGCCCGCGCCUCAGGUGUGACGCGGCGGGUGGCGGGAGAAUACAAAAGAGAUCCCUCAGCCUGCGCUUGUUCAUCUGUCUCCAAUGAUGUUCUCAGGACUUUUGGAGUUGUUCUGUGCUGUAAAAUAAUUGUUUCCUCUGAAGAUGCAAAGGAAUUCAGCUCACUCAUCUUCUCAGCUGUGUUAGUUUUGCAAGACUAAGGCCACAAAAUCAAAUUGUUGAGAAGACAGAAUUAUCGUGAGAAAUGCAAACAAGCGUUUGGAAGGGCAGAGCACAAGAAUCUCUUAAAACAGGCAUCUGAUGCUACUUCUUGGGGAAGAUGAUAUUGGACAAAUCCAUGAUUAGAGCCUUUGUAAUGUAAACCAUCCCUACUGUGCUGGAAUUGAUUACACACAUUUGGUGAAGGAUGAUUUGAAUGCUCCACAGGUCUGACUUGAAGUUUUCAGGAGUGAGUCUGGGCACAUCAAUUUUGAGGUUUCUUCUGGGAUAAUUUGUGGUGAAAUAAAAGCAACAAAAGGAAAUUCCAUGUACCUCCUUCAGGUUCUGAUGGAAGAGGAAUCCUCCCGCAAAGUUCUGCACUGAGUUGUGAGCUCUCUGUGGCGCAGAGGGAAAACACAAACAUACGCUCACAAGUGAUUGAGUUACCAACCCAAACUACUGCUUUUCAGGUAGGACACUCUUGCAGAAUAUAGUAACUUAAACUAACACGUUACUUCAGCUGCUGGACAAGCUAAGAGCAUGCACACAGGCAAUUAUUACAUCUUGUCUGUGGAGCAGUAACUUAUUAAGCCAUGCUAAGCCAUGGCUUAAUUACAAACUGGCUUGACAGCUUGUGGCUGUCUGUCCCUACCCAAUUCAGCAACAUGAACAAAGCUCAAAUGAAGGCAACAGAAAUAAUCAAGGCACAUCAACCCUUUCAGUUUGUUGCAUCUUGGAGCCAGCUCAUGGCUGGCUGGAUGAAGCUCCAAAUAAGCACUUCCACACUGCUAAUUAAGUGCCUGUGUGAAGGCAUCUAACCUGUCACCAGCCAUGUUUAAGAUUGCAUUUGUCAUUCUAAUGCUGAAACUGAAUAGCAUUUCAUAUUAUGCUCUAAUAAACAACAAUAUUCUGUCCUUCUUCAUGAUCUCCUUGAAGUGUUAAGCUCCUAGUUUCUAGAGGAAAUGUCUGAUAUUAGUCCCAACCUUCUUGCUUUUAAGCUCCUCAAUUUAUCUGUAUUUCAGUUUCUUUGUCAAUUUAACUGUGUAUGGUUUCAUAGCUCUCUUCACUGUUUGUGCCUCCUAGCACUGGGCUGUUUACAGUUCUAUUUCCCACCACCUUCUUCUGUUGGUGUCAUUAAUGAAAAUAUCUAGGUUUAACCUCCAACUGAUCUUUUACAAAACAAAGAGCUUCUUUACUCAGAUAGUUUACCUCUGAGCAUUUAUGGAUAGUCCAUCACCUACAUUAGUCUCUGAUACUGCUCUGCUAAUCGCCACUAUCUCCUCCUUUAUCUAGAUGGUGAAUGAUAUUAUAAGAAAGAUAUUAGGUUAAUCUGGUAACAUCCACCUUUGUAAACAAACAUUACUCUUUUAUCAUUUCCUGCUAUAUUUAAAAAGCUUACUGUGAGACAAGUAAUUUCCUUUACGUUAUUUCUUGACUUCUGGAAUGGGCGUUAUCUAUCCCUUUUCUGCCUGGAGGCUGUUGUCUGUGCUUUACUUUACUUUUAUAUGUGAUACUAGCAAUUUUCUUUCCCUCACAGCUACUAGCCAUCCUGCUAUCUAAUCCCAUGUUCAACAUCAUCAUCUUUGGUGAAAAUUGAGCCAUAUAUGUUUAGUUUUAGAAUUAGAUAUAGACUACUAAUAAUCCCCUCUUUUGACUCACUGAAAAGCAGCAUCACUUCUUUCUUACAAUACUAUGUUACAGCUGGAUAGCAUUUUGCUGAUUUUCUAGGUAUCAUGUGGAAACUCUAAAUUCACUUGAUUUCUCAGAUUAAUUCUCCCUUUGUUUCCCACAGCAGUUGACGUUGAAGAUCUUUCCUGAUCCAGACUUUCCUUUUGUUUUGUUUUAUACUCUCUGCUUAUAACCUGGACCUCUCUUGCAGCCAUUUUUCUUCCAGUUUUGCCUUAAAGCCUCUUCCUGUAACCCCUUUGCCUUGUGUAUGAUCAGAAUCACAAUGGAUUUAAAAUGUUAGAGAUAUUUAAGGCUUCUUCCAGACUGUUGAUUUCAUUGCACAAGCUGAAUUUAUUGCCAGGUUCCUUCAUUCAUUCAGUCAGUCUUUCCGAAAUUGACAGUGCUCCACUUUUUCACCUUUACCUUUCAUCAGACAACUUACCAUCGUCUACUCUAGGGCUGUUACCCACAGCCAGGCCUUUGAUGAUUUCUGAAUCAUCGAAAAAAGAGCGUUACUUCUGAAAGGCUUGGUGACAGUUGGGAAGAAGAAUUCAUUGACUACCAGAAACAAGAAUGUCUGGCCCUAGCUAUGAGUAGUAUACAUUCCCCAAACUACUAAUAGGUAAUAAUACUAUUAUUGGGUUUUGUCAGUAUCUGUGCCUUUAUCUUCGCUACCCGUUUUUCUCUUGAUGAGCAAAACCCGGGCAAAAGGUUACGUGAACCUUUCCACAUUUUCUUUACUCAUUUCUUAACAUGAAGACAAUCUUAUUAUCUGUGGUUCACAGAUAAAAAUGUCUUGUGAAAGAGUCUCUCCAGUGUGAAGGCCUGUUAGUGCACUGCACGAAAGUUUUAAAGCUCAAAAUAGAAAUAAAAUUGAGAUAAUGUAAAAAUGAUGUCAGCUCCAGUUAUGGCUGUUUUGUCAUUCUUUUAAACGUGAAACAAAUUUAAUUCUUGAGAUUCAUCAACAGCUACUCCUAAAGGGACAAAUCUGUUUGCCAAGAAAAGUAAAACACAAAGAGUUGGGAAUUUAAAAAGUUCUCUAUGGUAAAACUAAAUUUCAUUCCCCUUAAGUGCAAUAGCAAAUGGGAGUUGUUAGCAAUUUACCUUUAUCCUGUACAGACUACAUGUAUAUGUAUGUAUGUACUCUGAGGGCUGCUCUGAAAGUAAUGCUUCCUAUUUUAUUGUGUUGGCCCAUGAUGCCAGAGGCAGAUGGUGGUAUAGCUCACUUCCCC